CUCCUGGUCUCCAUAGCCAGGAAUACUGCAGAGGCACACCAUCCUUGCCUGAAGUGCGGCGAGCGUAGCUCUCCAAUCCACGGCAGACUUUACCGGAUCCUUUGGCGGCUUACCCCGUCGUCGGGUCUGCAUAUGUCGCGUUUCGCGUUCGCUUCACGUGCGGGGUCUCCAC
rfam:Aureimonas sp. Leaf324 contig_3, whole genome shotgun sequence.